AGACGUCUACAUUAGACUACCCCGGGUAGUCCCAGCCGUAAACUAUGCUCGCUAGGUGUCAGGCAUGGCGCGACCGUGUCUGGUGCCGCGAGGGAAGCCGUGAAGCGAGCCACCUGGGAAGUACGGCCGCAAGGCUGAAACUUAAAGGAAUUGGCGGGGAGCACCACAACGGGUGGAGCCUGCGGUUUAAUUGGACUCAACGCCGGGAAGCUCACCGGAUAAGACAGCGGAAUGAUUGCCGGGCUGAAGACUCUGCAUGACUAGCUG
rnacentral:rRNA from 1 species